rnacentral:rRNA from 1 species
GUGUCAGCCGCCGCGGUAAUACGGAGGGUGCAAGCGUUGUUCGGAUUUAUUGGGCGUAAAGCGCGUGUAGGCGGUUUCUUAAGUCUGAUGUGAAAGCCCUGGGCUCAACCCAGGAAGUGCAUUGGAUACUGGGAGACUUGAAUACGGGAGAGGGUAGUGGAAUUCCUAGUGUAGGAGUGAAAUCCGUAGAUAUUAGGAGGAACACCGGUGGCGAAGGCGGCUACCUGGACCGAUAUUGACGCUGAGACGCGAAAGCGUGGGGAGCAAACAGGAUUAGAUACCCGCGUAGUCC